UACGUAGGGGCAAGCGUUAUCCGGAUUUACUGGGUGUAAAGGGAGCGUAGACGGUAUGGUAAGUCAGAUGUGAAAGCCCGGGGCUCAACCCCGGGACUGCAUUUGAAACUAUCAAACUGGAGUGCAGGAGAGGUAAGUGGAAUUCCUAGUGUAGCGGUGAAAUGCGUAGAUAUUAGGAGGAACACCAGUGGCGAAGGCGGCUUACUGGACUGUAACUGACGUUGAGGCUCGAAAGCGUGGGGAGCAAACAGGAUUAGAUACCCUGGUAGUCCCUGAG
rnacentral:rRNA from 1 species